UACGUAGGUGGCAAGCGUUGUCCGGAUUUACUGGGCGUAAAGGGUGCGUAGGUGGAUAUUUAAGUCAGAUGUGAAAUCCCCGGGCUUAACCUGGGAAGUGCAUUCGAAACUGGAUAUCUUGAGUGCAGGAGAGGUAAGUGGAAUUCCUAGUGUAGCGGUGAAAUGCGUAGAGAUUAGGAAGAACACCAGUGGCGAAGGCGACUUACUGGACUGUAACUGACACUGAGGCACGAAAGCGUGGGUAGCAAACAGG
rnacentral:rRNA from 1 species